rnacentral:piRNA from 1 species
UUUGAAUCAGAGGAAGCUGUGCAGGAGC